GACAGAGGGGGCAAGCGUUGCUCGGAAUUACUGGGCGUAAAGGGCGCGUAGGCGGGAUGGCAAGUCGGUCGUGAAAUCCUUCGGCUCAACCGAAGAACGUCGAUCGAUACUGCUGUUCUUGAGGGUUGCAGAGGAGACUGGAAUUCCCGGUGUAGCGGUGAAAUGUGUAGAGAUCGGGAGGAACACCGGUGGCGAAGGCGGGUCUCUGGGCAAUUCCUGACGCUGAGGCGCGAAAGCUGGGGGAGCGAACGGG
rnacentral:rRNA from 1 species